AGCAUGAACAACAGUAAAGAGCUUAGUAGCCGUAUCCUCUGUCCCUUCAUUCAUGUUUUUUGACUAAUACACAACAAAUUGGCGACGAGGAUGGCCGUGGCUUCUACUCCUUUACCUCCCACCUUUCUUCAGUGUCCGGGAGAACCUACUAUGCCAUUUGGAACAUGGCUAAAAAUGUUUGAAAACGAUCUGCUAGUGAUCGACGUGGAAGGAGCCAAGUGGCCGGAUACCCGUGUACGUGCUACGCUGCUACACAGCGUCGGAACCGAAGCACAGAGGAUUUUCUACACAUUGACUGAAACGGGAACUACAUACAACCAUGCCGUGACUGCACUAUGGGCGCAUUUCGUGCCGAAGGUAAACGUAAUUGCGGAGAGACACAAGUUCCGCCAACGAGCCCAGAGACAUGAUGAAACAAUUGCACAGUACGUCUCUGCGCUACGUGAAAUGAUCGUUUUGUGUGCAUUUGGAAAUGCAGAACAGGAUAUGCUGCGUGAUCAGAUUGUGGAAAAAGCCUACAGUGGACGCAUACGUGAACGCUUGCUGCUAGAAGACAAACUGACACUGGAUAAAGCCAUUCAGACUGCAAAUCAGGUGGAAACGGCGGUGCGCAACGUGGCCGAGUUCUCCAACAGUGAAGUGCCUGUGAGAGAGAUCAGGGUGCCAAAAUGGGAACAAAAACUUCCCGCUACAAGUAAACAAAGGAAAGUGUUCCAGUGUAUUCUCUGAAUACCUUGAAGGCCCUGAUGGUUCGCCACUGCAUCCAACACAUCAGGACUACCAUCUACCAUCCAGAAGGAAAUGGAGAUGUGGAGAGGCUAAAUAGAGUGCUGAAGGAAAGCAUUCUCACUGCACAGAGAGAGAACGCUCCGUGGAAAGCUCACGUUGCUGAGUUUCUUCAGGUCUACAGAGCUACACCUCACGCCACUCCAGGGACAUCUCCUUUCCAGCUCAUGUAUGGAAGAAAAAUACGAACCAAACUCUCAAUCCUGCCACAGCUUACUGAUACUCAGGAUCAGGAACUGAGAGACAGAGUGGAAAAGAAACAGUGGCACAUGAAAACAUACACUGACGCAAAAAGAAAUGCCAAGAUUCCCAAAAUACAUCCGGGAAGCCUGGUGCGUGUGAGAAACCCGCUGCAUGUCAAAAAGGGAAAGCCAAAGUUCAGUGAGCCUCUGAAAGUGACCCAGCAGAAGGGACCUCACAGUUACACGCUGGAAAAACCUGGGAUGCUUCACACCUGUUGGUUCUUCCAGAAACAUUCACUCCUCCAUCAGAAGAAGGAGAGAAUGUCAACAGGCCAACUGUAGCUGGCCUGCUGAGCCAGCUACAGUUGAUGGUGCUCAGAGCAGGAACCAGCGAAUCAGAAAGCAGCCUGCUUGGAUUGAGGACUAUGUCACUUAAACUGUGGUUGAAUCAUGGGUUGAAUUCAUGUUUGAAAAUGUUCUGCAUAUUGUGAUAUGUGAAGUUGUUAUUAUUAUUAUUACAGAUGGUUACUACAGAAGUGUCUGUUUAAAAUGCUAAUGUUAUGCAUACUGUUCAAGUGGAGAAGUAACUAUUUUAAGAAGGUGGGAAAUGUUGGGUUCUGAUAUACUCCUGCCAAUAGGGGGCGCAGUGUAACCAGAGUAACAUAGAAUGUUGGGAGAAUAAGUGUAUGCCCGGGAGUUGAUGCUGUGGCGGGAAAGCAUGAACAACAGUAAAGAGCUUACCCAGCUAGAAAUGUUUGGUUCUAAAAACAUUCUGAGAAUGUUUUAUUCAUUGUUCUAGGAAUGUUUUCAGCGGGAAGUUUUCUUUUGGUUCCCAGAACGUUCUUCUGAAAGGUAGGAUAACGUUCUCUAAAAACAUUCUUAAAGUGUUUGGUGAUAACCUUCUUAAAAUGUUUUUGAUAACAUUGUUAGAACAUUAUGCCCUACUGUUCUUAAAAUGUUUUCAGCUGCAAGUUAGAUUUGUUUUUGUUGCCAGAAUGUUAUUAUUUUAGAGAAGGAUAACAUGCUUUAUGUUUAAAACGUUAUGCAAAUGUUCUGUGGUAACAAUUUACUAAAAUAUUUUUACAUUAUUAGAACAUAAAGACAUAAUAUUCCUGUAAUUGUUCAACUCAAAAUUCCUGGGUAAGUGGACUGACCACUGUGGUCAUUUGGAUGAUUUUGAUAGUUUACUUAACUAUUGGAAUCAGAUAACCUACAUACGAGACACGACCUUUAUAGUCAGAAAAAAGUGUGAUUAUUUUCGGAUAUUUUACACAUAUGAUAUUAUGAAUACUGUGGGCCUACAUACCUUAGUGUGAUUAUAAGUGCACGUGAGUGAAUAUUGGCAUGCAACAAGUUUGUUUUU